rnacentral:lncRNA from 1 species
GGCCUUUUUCCUCCUCACGCCCUGGACCCUGGCAGAGAAACUUCCUGUCCUUAGCGGCGCUCCGUCCCUGGUCUUGAGAGCAUACCCUCCGUGAAUGCUUCUCUAGGCCUGUUGUAACAUUUGUAGGCAUCAGCCCUGUUUUGGAGAAGAUUCAGUAGAGAGCUGGUGUAAUUGAUGUGCUCUGAUGACAGAAUAUCAAAGAAAGGCCCAGAAGUAGUUUCUGCUUCUCCAUCCGGGGUGCAUCGAGAGGUUCGAGAGAAGCAAGUCGGCGGCCCACGGACCUCCUUGGGGGCUGCCCGGUUGUAAUCCGAAGCUGGCCCUGUGCUCAGAGGGCAGAGGAAAGGGGCAGAUGACUCCAGACCUACAAACCCGGAGCGGCAGGUUACGAAGGGGAUUUGCCACAAGCCUUGUCUUAGGUGAAUCCAGCGCAGACGGACCCCUGCCCCUGCCGGCAGAGGCUUCGUGUUUAUGGAGAGGCCUUAGCUGGAUCCACUCGUGCACACAGUCUAUAGUCUCAUUGCCAUAUUAAUAUCUCAAGGCUUUAUCCUCGAGGCAGCUUCUGGAUGUAGAGGAAGCAAAUGGGGUGCAUGAUCUACGGACAGGGGAGGGGCGGGGGCGGGCAGCCUCCAAGUGCCAGGGUUCAGCUUGCAGGUCAAACCCUUGGGCACAUCUUCUCAGUGGCGCCCCCAGCACAAGUAUGGAUCCAUCUCCCAUCUCUGCAAGACCUCAAGUGGCUGCACAGAAGUGGUGUGAUUCUUUUUUUUUUGUUUCACUUUUUAGGGCCACACUCGUGGCAUAUGGAAUUUCCUAAGCUAGGGGUCAAAUCAGAGCUACAGCUGCCAGCCACAGCCACAGCCACACCAGAUCCGAGCUACGUCUAUGACCUACACCACAGCUAACAGCAACACUGGAUCCUUAACCCACUGAGUGAGGCCAGGGGUCGAACCUGCAUCCCAAUGGAUCCUAUUCUGUAACUGUAACCACUGAGCCGUGAAGGGAACUCCCAAAAGUCAACAUCUUAAUAGCUUGUUAUAUAACACAUUUUUAAAGGAAAUGUAAUGAGUGCUUAUUGCCAGAGUAAAUGAUAAUUUUUACUCUUUCUUUUCUAUUUCAAUGUAACAUACCGCCCAUGACACGUUAAAAUAAUCAUCAUUCCUUCCCCCCAAAUUUAAACCUAUUAAAUUAUUUUUUGAGAAAUUCUUAUCUAAAAUAUCUGCCAUUUUGCAGAACUCCUGCAGAUAUGAGUGAUUCGCUGUUUUAAUAAUUAGUGUGGGAAAAAAGAAGACACAUGGAGAAUUUUGAAAUAGUCCUGUUAUUGUUUACGGCAAUCUACAUGCAUGAAGAAAUAGCUAGUUUUAACCCAACAAAAUUACAAGUUCUAAAACUGACAGAACACUGUAAACCAACUAUAAUGGAAAAAAUAAAAAUCAUUUAAAAUUUUAAAAAA